CCUACGGGAGGCAGCAGUGAGGAAUAUUGGUCAAUGGACGAGAGUCUGAACCAGCCAAGUAGCGUGAAGGAUGACUGCCCUAUGGGUUGUAACCUUCUUUUAUAAAGGAAUAAAGUGAGGCACGUGUGCCUUUUUGUAUGUACUUUAUGAAUAAGGAUCGUCUAACUCCGUGCCAGCAGCCGCGGUAAUACAGAGGAUCCGAGGGUUAUCCGGUUUUAUUGGGUUUAAAGGGAGCGUAGAUGGGUUGUUAAGACAGCGGUAAAAAUUCGGGGCUGAACCACGUCCGGCCGUUGAAACUGGGGGCCUUGAGUGGGCGAGAAGAAGGCGGAAUGCGUGGUGGAGCGGUGAAAUGCAUAGAUAUCACGCAGAACACCGAGUGCGAAGGCAGCCUUCCGGCGCCCUACUGACGCUGAGGCACGAAAGUGCGGGGAUCGAACAGGAUUAGAUACCCCAGUAGUC
rnacentral:rRNA from 1 species